UACAGAGGUCCCAAGCGUUGUUCGGAUUCACUGGGCGUAAAGGGUGCGUAGGUGGCUUGGUAAGUUUGAUGUGAAAUCUCCGGGCUUAACCCGGAAAUGGCAUUGAAUACUAUUGAGCUGGAGGUUUGGAGGGGGGACUGGGAUUCUCGGUGUAGCAGUGAAAUGCGUAGAUAUCGAGAGGAACACCAGUGGCGAAGGCGAGUCCCUGGACAACACCUGACACUGAGGCACGAAAGCUAGGGGAGCAAACAGG
rnacentral:rRNA from 1 species